UGGCUCUCGCAUCGAUGAAGAACGCAGCGAAAUGCGAUAAGUAAUGUGAAUUGCAGAAUUCAGUGAAUCAUCGAAUCUUUGAACGCACCUUGCGCCCCUUGGCAUUCCGGGGGGCACGCCUGUUUGAGUGUCGUGAACUCCUCCACUCCUCACCUUUUUCGAAGGGUUGUUGAGCUGGGAUUUGGGAGCUUGCGGGUCCCUGGCCGAUCCGCUCUCCUUGAAUGCAUUAGCGAAGCCCUUUGCGGCCUUGGUGUGAUAGUCAUCUACGCCUCGGCUUAGCGAACCUAACGGGAGUCGCUUCCAACCGUCUCGUAAGGGACAACACAUACCAACUUGACCUCAAAUCAGGCGGGACUACCCGCUGA
rnacentral:misc_RNA from 1 species